CGAAAGCGUGGGGAGCGAACAGGAUUAGAUACCCUGGUAGUCCAGGCCGKAAACGAUGAKUGCURAGUGUURGGGGGUUUCCGCCCCUUASUGCUGCAGCUAACGCAUUWAGMACUCCGCCUGGGGAGUACGGYCGCAAGACUGAAACUCRAAGGAAUUGACGGGGGCCCGCACAAGCGGUGGAGCWUGUGGUUUAAUUCSAAGCAACGCGAAGAACCUUACCAGGUCUUGACAUCCUCUGACAAUCCUAGAGAUAGGACGUCCCCUUCGGGGGCAGAGUGACAGGUGGUGCAUGGKUGUCGUCAGCUCGUGUCGUGAGAUGUUGGGUUAAGUCCCGCAACGAGCGCAACCCUUGAUCUUAGUUGCCAGCAUUCAGUUGGGCACUCUAAGGUGACUGCCGGUGACAAAMCGGAGGAWGGUGGGGAUGACGUCAAAUCAUCAUGCCCCUUAUGACCUGGGCUACACACKUGCUACAAUGGACMGAACAAAGGGCAKCGAAACCGCSAGGUUAARCCAAUCCCACAAAUCUGUUCUCAGUUCGGAUCGCAGUCUGCAACUCKACUGCGUGAAGCUGGAAUCSCUAGUAAUCGCGGAUCASCAUGCCKCGGYGAAUACGUUCCCGGGCCUUGUACACACCGCCCGUCACA
rnacentral:rRNA from 1 species